UGUCAUCGAUAGAAACGAUAUCGAUGUAUCAACGAUAUUUUUUUGGUCGAUCGAUUAUCGAUUCCCAUUUUCAAAAAUCGAUAUUUUACAGAGAGAAAAAACAACUGUCUAGAUAAACACUCAGACCCUCUAAAACAACUUUUUCUGCCUGCAAAAAUGUGCCGAAAGUAACGGAAGUUGUCAAAAAAGAGUAUAUAUACUGUUUCUACGUCAAUCUCGGCUUUUUACUUGUUCGCGUAUAGCUGAUCACUCAGUAAAAGGUACAGAAUUUAGCUAGUGCCCGUAACAAUAACAAUCAAAGAUGGCCGAAGAGGAAGCCGUCGCCGGCUUAAAUAGUGGAAAAACAGUCAAAAGACGGAAGGAAAAGCUUUGUUUGGGUUCGUAGAAACACAGGGUGUUGCUUAAACAUGCCUUUCAGUACAACAAACAAACAGUCAAACACUACAAAUUUGAGGCCCAUUGAAAACGUGGGCAGAAGUUAAAAAAGAAAAAAGAAAAAAAACAACAAAAAAAAAACAACAAAACACGCGGUGCCAGUACCUAAUCCGAAUGUAAACUUGUGCAAGGUAAAAAUUAAGACAGGGUAUGAAACAGGCUAAAAAUAAAUAAAAACAUUGUAAAUAAAUAAAUUAAUUAAUUUGAUAAAUAAAUAGAUAUCUGUGGAAGAGAAAUGCAGAAUUUUAGCUGUUUGAAACCCAACUCCAGUGCCUGGUAUUAUAGUUUACUAGGUUGUAAAGUAGGAUAAAUGCAAAAGAGGAGUGAAGGCACAAUGAAGAUCUAUAAAAGAUUUCAUUAAUUUUCAUUUAUUUUAUUUAUUUCAUAGAUACAAAUGCAACACAAUCGAACAGUAAUAUAAAAAGUAGGCAAAAAAAGAA